rnacentral:pre_miRNA from 1 species
AUGUAGGGCAAUUUCACUCCAGGUAGGGAUAAGUUACUAUAAAGAAAUUGAUCCUAGAUAGUUUUCCCUUCACAUCAAACAUUUGGG